rnacentral:rRNA from 1 species
ACAAGCGGUAGAUGGAUGUGGAUUAAUUCGAUGCAACGCGAAGAACCUUACCUACCCUUGACAUGUCCGAACUUGCCAGAGAUGGCUUGGUGCCCGAAAGGGAAUCGGAACACAGGUGCUGCAUGGCUGUCGUCAGCUCGUGUCGUGAGAUGUUGGGUUAAGUCCCGCAACGAGCGCAACCCUUAUCAUUAGUUGCUACGCAAGGGCACUCUAAUGAGACUGCCGGUGACAAACCGGAGAAGGUGGGGAUGACGUCAAGUCCUCAUGGCCCUUAUGGUAGGGCUUCACACGUCAUACAAUGGUCGGUACAGAGGGUUGCCAAGCCGCGAGGCGGAGCCAAUCCCACAAAGCCGAUCGUAGUCCGGAUUGUUCUCUGCAACUCGAAAGCAUGAAGUCGGAAUCGCUAGUAAUCGCAGGUCAGCAUACUGCGGUGAAUACGUUCCCGGGUCUU